GCCAAACAACUAGCCCCCCCCCCCAAAACUAAAUUAUAACCAUAAGUAGAAGCACAUGAACCCAAAUGAGCUAAAAGUAAAACAUUUUCCCACCCCAGUAUGGGCGACAGAAAAGGACCCAGCAGGGAGCAAUAGAGAUAGUACCGCAAGGGAAAGCUGAAAGAGAGAUGAAAGAGAGCACUUAAGCACGGCAAAGCAGAGAUUUGUCCUCGUACCUUUUGCAUCAUGAUCUAGCUAGCACCCCCAGGCAAAGAGACCUCUAGUCUGACACCCCGAAACCGGACGAGCUACCCCGGGACAGCUUACAGGAGCCAACCCGUCUCUGUGGCAAAAGAGUGGGAAGAUCCCCCGGUAGAGGUGAAAUGCCUACCGAGUCAGGUUAUAGCUGGUUACCUAGGAAACGAAUAGAAGUUCAGCCCUGCCUUCUCCCCCACCAAUACAGCCAAGCUAAGCAAGGAUACGGGACCCAGCAGGAGUUAGUUGAGAGAGGUACAGCUCUCCCAACAAAGGACACAACCUCUAUCAGGAGGCUAAGGAAUAUAAUUCAGAAGUUAAGGGCCGCAGUGGGCCCAAAGGCAGCCACCUGGAAAGAAAGCGUUAAAGCUCAGACCCUCACCUAGACUAUUAUUACAUUAAGCACCCCCACGCCCCUAAUCCUACUAGGCCGCCCCAUGCGCCCAUGGGAGAGACCAUGCUAGAACGAGUAACAAGAAGAAUGAACUUCUCCCAGCACACGUGUACGUCGAACCGGACCCCCCACCGACCACUAACGAACCCACCACCAGAGGGCAGCACGCCACCGCCCCACCAAGCCGAGAAAAACACGAGCUAAAAGAUCGUUGACCCCACACAGGAGUGCACCAACUAGGGAAAGACAAAAAGGGCCGAAAGGAACUCGGCAAACCCGGGCCUCGCCUGUUUACCAAAAACAUCGCCUCUUGCCCCCCCCCACAUAAGAGGUCCCACCUGCCCUGUGACCAACGUUUAACGGCCGCGGUAUUUUGACCGUGCAAAGGUAGCGCAAUCAAUUGUCUUUUAAAUGGAGACCUGUAUGAAUGGUAUUACGAGGGCCCGACUGUCUCUCGACCCCUGUCAGUGAAACUGAUCUGCCCGUGCAGAAGCGAGCAUUUCAAUACAAGACGAGAAGACCCUAUGGAGCUUUAGGCGCCCACCACCUGUAAUGAGCACUUGUUAUACUCAAGAUUCAACCCGCACAGCAAUGGCACAAACGCCUUCGGUUGGGGCGACCACGGGGGAAAAUGAAGCCCCCGAGCGGACCUACCCACCAGAGUUUAGGGCCACACCCCUGAACCACAGAACAUCUGACCGAAAAUGAUCCGGCCCACACCCGAUCAACGGACCAAGUUACCCUAGGGAUAACAGCGCAAUCCCCUCCCAGAGUCCCUAUCGACAAGGGGGUUUACGACCUCGAUGUUGGAUCAGGACAUCCUAAUGGUGCAGCCGCUAUUAAGGGUUCGUUUGUUCAACGAUUAAAGUCCUACGUGAUCUGAGUUCAGACCGGAGUAAUCCAGGUCAGUUUCUAUCUGUAAGGCCACCCCUCCUAGUACGAAAGGACCGGAGAAGUAAGGCCAAUGCCUACGGCACGCCUUCCCCCCACUCGCUGAAACCAAAUAAAGCAGAAUAAGGGGAGGCCCCCCCCAGCCCCAGAGAAGGGCUU
rnacentral:rRNA from 1 species